CGCUCCUCGCACCGACCUCAGCGGGCCGGCAGCCCCUGCGGGGCGCGCAUCACUAGGGGGGCGGCCGCCUCAGCUCCGUAUCCCGCUCAGCUCCGUAUCCCGGCUGCGCGCUGUAUCCCCGGCUCGGCUCGGCUCGGCUCGGCUCGGCUCGGCUCGGCUCGGCUCGGCUCGGCUCGGCCCCGUCCCGCCCCGGCGCUCCCAGCCCUGCCCUGCCCCGCUCACGGCCCCGCGGCGCUUCCGCCCGGCACUGCUUCCGGCCGCCCCGCCCCGGCGGCCUCGCUGAUUGGCUCCUGGCCCUGCCCAUCACCGCUGCCCCGCCCACAGGGGGACGCCGGGGGGAAGCGGGCGGCCGUGCCACCCUCCGCUGAGCGAGGGUUGGUGUGUUCCGGGCGCCCUCCCCCCGCGGCCGGCAGUGGGCUGUACCGCGCGGGGCGAAGCGAAGCGUUCCCGGAGCCGCUGGAGAGGAGGAGGGAAAGAGGAAAAGUGCAUGCACUGAAGGAUGCCACAAGAGUAUUUAUGCAGCUGUGACUGAAAUACAGCUUAAAAGCCAUGGAAUAGUGUAAGUACCCACUAGGAUGUGCUGUUGGCCUAAAAUUGAAGCCCCGGUAUUUAAGAAACUGAAAUUUCAAAAUUCUUAGGUGUGAUGUAAACAUAAUCCCCAUACUAUUCUCAUUUGAAGAUUUCAGAGAAGACGUACAAUUUAUAGGACUUUUUAAGAAAAAGAAUGUGGUGGUUGAAUGAUAGGCAAAUUUUAUUAUCAUGCAACUAUCCUUAGCAGGCAUACUUGAAGUGAGAGUUUCCUGAAGGAGCGUCACAGCCAUGACCAUAUUCAAUUUCAAUAGCUAACAUUAGAACUCCUACAGCUGGACAUUUCUGUUGGAAGGUGUGGUCUCUGGGAUAAGACCUCCUGUAUACAUCACAUGGGCAAUAUAUGUAACACCUUUACAUACACAAAAAAAUGAAAUAUAUUCUAUAAUGAAUUACUUGUAUUUUUGGUCUUUUUGCCUGUUGUGAAUGCAAACAUAUAUCAAACAGUGUUCAACUAAUAUUUGUGGAUUUAAACUGAUAUAUUGCAUUACUGGAUGUAAAGCAACACUUGUUUAUCAAGAUGUGGAGUUCUGAAAAUUGAUAUGAUGGAAAUAUUUGACGCAUCGUUGCUAAAGCUUGUGGUUUGUCAUUUCAGUAAUAUGGACAUGUUUUAUCAGUUUUGAUACUUCAGCCUGGAAAUGGUUUCCUAUGUAGGAAUUUUCCAGCACUUGCAACUUUAUAGUGGCAAACAUACUCUUAAGUUGUCUGUGUAGAAAGUAGAUUGAUAUGAUGUGCAAGAGAACUUAGGGAAGGGUCUAUACAAACUGUUCUGUUAAACCCAGAAUGUGGUAUGAAGGCCUUCGUAGCUGGCAGUCCUUUCAUGCCAGCAACAGCUCCUGCAGGCACCUAGAAUUCUCAAAUUCCUUCAGCAACAAAGGGAGAAUUUUUUUUUUCUUCUGGAUUUUCCAUCUUAAAAAACAUAGCAGGAGUGUAAAAUCUUAAAGAUUCCUAAAAUACUUCAAUGUCAGUGUAGUACAGACAGUGCUGCCAAUGGUAAUGAUUAAGUGAUCUAAUAAGCCUUUUCUUCAAUUUGACUGAUUGUCUACCUGAUGCAUCAGGCUGGCAUAAUAUUAAAUAUAGUCUUUCCAGUCAUUCCUUUCUAACACCAGACAAAAGCUGAGUUUUACAGUUUUGGUCAUGUUUUCUCAGUUCUUUACCCAUCAGUGUUGCUAAUACCAGUCUACCAGAACUGAAAGGUAGUGCUGCAAAGUUUUGUGUAUACUUUGAAAAAUCUCCAAUCUACAACAUAAACCACUUUAAAAGAAAAAGGCCUUCAUCAAUUAAAACAUGUCAACAUCACAACUCUUCCUUCUGAAGAGUAAGAAUUUUUUUCUCAUUUCUUCUGAGAGCCAUGAACUAAGUUCUACUCUGAGAGCCAGGAAUUCUUCCAUUCUCAUUCUGGUACUGAGUCCGUUGUAGCCUAUGGCAAUUUAUCACUUUUUUUUUCUGUAUGUA
rnacentral:lncRNA from 1 species